UACGAAGGGGGCUAGCGUUGUUCGGAUUUACUGGGCGUAAAGCGCACGUAGGCGGAUUGUUAAGUCAGAGGUGAAAGCCCGGAGCUCAACUCCGGAAUUGCCUUUAAGACUGCAUCGCUAGAAUCAUGGAGAGGUGAGUGGAAUUCCGAGUGUAGAGGUGAAAUUCGUAGAUAUUCGGAAGAACACCAGUGGCGAAGGCGACUCACUGGACAUGUAUUGACGCUGAGGUGCGAAAGCGUGGGGAGCAAACAGG
rnacentral:rRNA from 1 species